rnacentral:rRNA from 1 species
UUUUGGACAAUGGGGGCAACCCUGAUCCAGCAACGCCGCGUGAGUGAAGAAGGCCUUCGGGUUGUAAAGCUCUUUUGUCAGGGAAGAAACAGCAGCUCUAACACAGUCUGCGAAUGACGGUACCCGAAGAAUAAGCACCGGCUAACUACGUGCCAGCAGCCGCGGUAAUACGUAGGGUGCGAGCGUUAAUCGGAAUUACUGGGCGUAAAGCGUGCGCAGGCGGUUAUACAAGACAGGCGUGAAAUCCCCGGGCUUAACCUGGGAAUGGCGCCUAUGACUGUAUAGCUAGAGUGUGUCAGAGGGGGGUAGAAUUCCACGUGUAGCAGUGAAAUGCGUAGAUAUGUGGAGGAAUACCAAUGGCGAAGGCAGCCCCCUGGGAUAACACUGACGCUCAUGCACGAAA